UUGCCACGUGAAUAGCUUGGAGCUCAGCGUAACGAGUCUCUUAAGUUCUCUUCAUAGAGCUCUCAACUAGAAUGUUUUUCUCUUCACAAUCAAAUUCACUAUGCAAACUUUAUUAUUUUUUUCAAACGAAAGUUGUAGUUUAACUCGACUUUCCUGACCUACUUGAAGGAGGGUCGAGAGUACGUUCACCUGUCACGAUAGGACAUUGAAAAAAAAAUGUCAGUUUUGCACUCUUCAGCGUAAUAUAGAUCUACUGCCCAUUGAGUGAAAAGAAUAAAACAACAGCAACUGGUCUUCAUAGCAUAGUUAUAGCUACGGAGAGACUAGAUACAAUGAGGAUUCUGCUCCACCUGGAGUUGAUUCGCUGGAGGUCUGAACGUGAGAGGAGCUCGUGAAUAUUGUGUGGAGGAUUUAAGACCCGGGAGAUUGUCUUUUCAUACGUUUGCCAUAAAACUUGAAUGCAAUUUGGAAUUCACAGCGGUAGAAAAUUACACCUUGCAUUUCUCAUGGGAUUUUUAAUCAUCUAAGGACAAUUUUCCAGUACGUAAAUGUGUUUAAGUAGGCAAACGUUCUGAAUGUCUAACGAGUCCUCUAAUUCAUUUGCUUCUACCGUAAUUUUCGAGCAGUAGGAAAAUCUUUGUAGGCCUUUGUAAAAUUAUGAUGUUACGUUUGUUGAUGUUGCAGUCGAGCUGCUGCUGUUUACCGUUCAGUAAUUUGACGAUUUAUUAUUUUUUAUUUGAAUACAUCUUACCACGAACACAUCUUAUGUAGUUAUUGAAUUCCUUUUGCAACUUGUUUGCUGCAUUCUGUUGUCUGGUGAAAUUCUGCAGGUGCUCGUCGAAAAUGUCAUCAGCAGUCCGGUCGACUUUUCCCAAAUUUUGAAGAAACUGUAAAUAAA